rnacentral:rRNA from 1 species
UACGUAGGGGGCUAGCGUUGUCCGGAAUCAUUGGGCGUAAAGAGCGUGUAGGCGGCCCGGUAAGUCCGCUGUAGAAGUCAAAGGCUCAACCUUUGAAUGUCAGUGGAUACUGCCGGGCUAGAGUCCGGAAGAGGCGAGUGGAACUCCUGGUGUAGCGGUGGAAUGCGUAGAUAUCAGGAAGAACACCUGUGGCGAAAGCGGCUCACUGGACCAUAACUGAUGCUGAUGCACGAAAGCUAGGGGAGCAAACAGG